rnacentral:rRNA from 1 species
CCUACGGGAGGCAGCAGUGAGGAAUAUUGGUCAAUGGACGAGAGUCUGAACCAGCCAAGUCGCGUGAAGGAUGACUGCCCUAUGUGUUGUAAACUUCUUUUAUAAAGGAAUAAAACGAGGCACGUGUGCCUUUUUGCAUGUACUUUAUGAAUAAGGAUCGGCUAACUCCGUGCCAGCAGCCGCGGUAAUACGGAGGAUCCGAGCGUUAUCCGGCUUUAUUGGGUUUAAAGGGAGCGUAGAUGGGUUGUUAAGUCAGUUGUGAAAGUUUGCGGCUCAACCGUAAAAUUGCAAUUGAUACUGGCAGUCUAGAGUACAGUUGAGGUAGGCGGAAUUCGUGGUGUAGCGGUGAAAUGCUUAGAUAUCACGAAGAACCCCGAUUGCGAAGGCAGCUUACUAAACUGUGACUGACAUUGAUGCUCGAAAGUGUGGGUAUCAAACAGGAUUAGAUACCCGGGUAGUC